rnacentral:rRNA from 2 species
AUCGUAUCUGAAACGACUCUCGGCAACGGAUAUCUCGGCUCUCGCAUCGAUGAAGAACGUAGCGAAAUGCGAUACUUGGUGUGAAUUGCAGAAUCCCGUGAACCAUCGAGUUUUUGAACGCAAGUUGCGCCCGAAGCCGUCAGGCCGAGGGCACGCCUGCC